GACGAACGCUGGCGGCGUGCUUAACACAUGCAAGUCGAACGGAAAGGCCCUGCUUUUGUGGGGUGCUCGAGUGGCGAACGGGUGAGUAACACGUGAGUAACCUGCCCUUGACUUUGGGAUAACUUCAGGAAACUGGGGCUAAUACCGGAUAGGAGCUCCUGCUGCAUGGUGGGGGUUGGAAAGUUUCAGCGGGCGGGGAUGGACUCGCGGCUUAUCAGCUUGUUGGUGGGGUAGUGGCUUACCAAGGCAUUGGCGGGUAGCCGGCCUGAGAGGGUGACCGGCCACAUUGGGCCUGAGAUACGGCCCAGACUCCUACGGUAGGCAGCAGUGGGGAAUAUUGCACAAUGGGAGGAAGCCUGAUGCAGCAACGCCGCGUGCGGGAUGCCGGCCUUCUGGUUGUAAACCGCUUUCGCCUGUGACGAAGCGUGAGUGACGGUAAUGGGUAAAGAAGCACCGGCUAACUACGUG
rnacentral:rRNA from 1 species